rnacentral:lncRNA from 1 species
GUUUUUUACUUUCAGCUCCAUCCUGCUGAGGCUCACCAUCAUUUCAAGAAACUGCAUAGAGCACACUUGAAUUCAGGCUGGAAUCCUCAGAUUCCUAUUAGGGGCAACACAUCUUCAGACAUCAGGAGGAUCACAGCUCGGGAAAAGCAAUAUGAUCAGUGACGCCACUAAGGAUAUUCAAGACAUUGAACUCAGUCAUCCAUCUGAGGAGAAUAUGAUGGGCAAAGUGCAGUAUUUUAUAGGGACGCUCCAGCUGAGGUUCGGUGUGGCACUGAGGGUCCUGUGGACAAUAGUUAUCUCCAAUUCAUCUCCUUAUGAACUUUCCAUAAUAGAAUUGCAUUCUGUACUGCACUACAUAGACCUCUUGGUACCACUCAUUAUUUAUGCCAGUGCAAUAGUAAACUCUGUGAGCUGUCUGGCUGCAUUGGUGUUAACAAUAACGCAUGGUGCAAAUUCUUUUGAAUUUGCAGGGACGAUGGGUAUAUUCCCUGCAGAUAUCACAUCUUUCGUCCUCUCGCUGUUUGAGUGCAUCUUGCCCGUGCUGCUCCUUGUAACCGUGUGCUACCAAAUGCUAAGAAAUUUGCUCCAAAUGUUCAGCUGAUGUUGCAAGGAGCCUGAAGUCUCCACAUCUGCAUAGAAUGGAGACUGAGAUGGGGUGGUUGCCCUCCCUGUUAAGUGGUUUAAUGCAAUGCCUUCAUAUGCUUUCCCGCUCCUUUUCCUUUGUGCCAUCCAGGAUAUCCUUGUCUAUAUAAUAAAGAGGAGCUGAAGUCUUUCAAGAAAAAUAAUUUUCAUUGAUUUGUUGAUGUUGACUUUUCUGUGGU